rnacentral:lncRNA from 1 species
ACAACUUAAUAAAUGUAAAUGUAACUCCCACUAAAAUUGACCUCGAUGCUUUCCGGCAUCUAUCGAAGGUUGCGGUGCUCCCAUUGGCACGCCAUGGUCCGAGCUCAUCAUGUUUUUUUUUUACAAGUGAGCUCGUUAUGGAUAAGCCCCACACAACACUGAUAGUGGUGACCUUGUUGCGUAGUGGCUCAACAACAUCAUCGAGUACCUUGGUGAUCGCAUCCUCAUUGACAAUCAUUAAGAAGCCGCAACCAUGGAAGACACUGAUCUCCGUGU